GAUGCAAGGCAGGUCAGCAGGUUGCAAAGCAAAGCUCGACACAAGCAGAGAAAACUAUGUGGUGACCAUCUCAUUGCUGACUGGUUCAUUUUAUCCAAUAAAAGGUGAAAAUCAGAUGGAGAUUCUGGGAGUUGGAUCCCUGAAGAGCUAGGGAUGUGAUGAGGAAAGGGGAAACGUUAAGAGCUGCUUGCUGACAUUAUCUGGUGCAUGAUCAGGAGAGAUUGUGCGAUGAGGUUUAAGAGGGGACGUGGGAGAAUUAGACAUCCAAGUAUCCUAUCACUGAUGUCCCAAGCAUCAUCUGUGGUCACGGUCUAAACAAUCAAUGAUCCCUUGAGGAUAAAUCCCACAUGGACGCACUUCCUCUCUUCUGAACUCUCCCACUGCAUCCUGUUACAUGUCACUUUCUCCUGAAAUAAAAAGAGAU